CCUACGGGAGGCAGCAGUGGGGAAUUUUCCGCAAUGGGCGAAAGCCUGACGGAGCGACGCUGCGUGAAGGAUGACGGCCUGCGGGUUGUAAACUUCUUUUCUCGAAGAAGAAUCAAUGACGGUAUUCGAGGAAUAAGCAUCGGCUAACUCUGUGCCAGCAGCCGCGGUAAGACAGAGGAUGCAAGUGUUAUUCGGAUUGAUUGGGCGUAAAGCGUCUGUAGGCGGUUUAGAAAGUCUCUUGUGAAAUUCUUCAGCUCAACUGAGGGUCCGCAAAAGAAACUUCUAGGCUUGAGGGAAGUAGAGGUAUAGGGAAUUUCCGGUGGAGCGGUGAAAUGCGUAGAUAUCGGAAGGAACACCAAUAUGGCGAAGGCACUGUACUGGGCUUUUCCUGACGCUAAGAGACGAAAGCUAAAGGAGUGAUUAGGAUUAGAUACCCUAGUAAUUUUAGCCGUAAACGAUGGAAACUCACUGCCGAGCCGGUAUUCGGAGCGGUGGUCAAGCUAACGCGUGAAGUUUCCCGCCUGGGGAUUACGCAUGCAAAUGUGAAACUCAAAGGAAUUGACGGA
rnacentral:rRNA from 1 species